ensembl:lncRNA LINC02611 long intergenic non-protein coding RNA 2611
GAGAUCAGAGCACUUUCAGUAAGAGAGCAGUGGCACGUUAGCAAAUGGAAGGGAGAAAAAGACAGCAGCAAACGUGGACAGGUUUGCGGGCUUUGUGGCAGGGAAGUGAGCGCGUUGCCUCUGAUGACUUUCAUUUCUCUCAGUUACACUGAGGUGAGGCCAACUGCUCUGUGUGUGGAAGCCAGAGAAGAAAGCAGCACAGAACAGAUGCAAACCAAGGAGGCUGGAAGAUAAGAGCAGAGCCAUCAGGACACGAGCCCCUCGCGGGUAUGAAACAGGAGUCGUGGGAGCAAAUUAGUAGGUGCACUGCAUGGAGGGACGGAAGGGGCAGGGAGGAGCAUCUGAAUGUAAGAUUUCAGAGAAGCUCAUUUUGUCAGCAUUUCAGAGCUUCCUGUGUGCAGCAUGGAUCUAAAGCUGGUGGAUGCAGGGGGGUGAACAAGACAACAUCUUCACUUCCUGCAUGCUGAUGGCAGAAGUGAGACAUCAGCGAAGAAACAUCACGAUCACCAAAUUACGAUGAACACCAUGGAGGAAACAAAGGACACUGUGACACCAAGGAAGGAAGGGAGGUUACUUUUCAUAGUGGCUGUAAAUAGAACUGAAGGCUGAAAAACAGCUGUUAAAAUGGCUUGUUUGUUUGAAGAUGAAUGAGAGUACACAAUAAAAGGAAAAAAAUUUGGACACAGACACACACAGAGGGAUGACCACGUGGAGAUGCAGGGAGAGGAUAGCAGCUACAGGCCAGGGCGAGAGGCCUCAGAGGAAACCAGUCCUGCUGACUCUUUGAACUCGGACUUCCAGCCUCCAGAACUGAACCACUGUCUUCCUUUAUCCCAGGAUGUCUGCAAGGAAGAAAAUGUCCUUUUUCUAGCAUUUAGAGGCCACCAACAUUGAAUAACCACACUGGGGUAGACACAGCGGCGAAGAGAUUCCUGCUGUUCCCAUCACAGCAGCCUUGGAGAUGAGAAGACAGAUGGAUCUGACCAGAAGUCUGGAGAACUUCGAGAAAAAAGGAGGAGGACACAAAAGGAAAUAACAAAAAAGAUGCAUCCGGAGCAACUAUGAGGAUGGUAAAUUGGUGUCUAAUUCUGAAAAUCAUAAUUGGUAUAAAUGCUAUGUACUGUGGAAGGAGGGAUGAAGGGUAGAGGGAAUAAAAAAGAACAUGAAGUUAGAAUCCUUGGCAUGAAAGCCUGCCAUUUAUACAAGCAAACAAACAAGAUCAGGGACUAUCAACUGGCUGGCUGAAUUGGACCAAUAGGCAGGUUUAUUCAGCCCCACACUUCAAAAAUUAGGAGAUCUCCAAAUUAAAAUCUGGGAAUCUGACCUUUUGUAACAAAUCAGAGGAUUUGCAACACCAAGAGCAUCAUCACAGGCAACGACCAGCUUGGAUGGGCAGCGGCUGCCCCUGCAGGUGGGUCAGGUGCUCUUCCGUUGGACACAGUCUCCACCACUCCCUGUCGCUUGCUCCUUGCUCCCCAUCAGCAUAACUGUUUGGGCCUUAUAGCAUAUGCAUUUAUCACUCCCUACUAGGACGUCCACAACAUGAAAUGAGAGAACGAUUUGGUAAGUUCAACAAAAGGCAUAUUAUGCAGCCACCAUACAUUCUUUGUGGAAAGAGAAGUGGCAUAAAUCAAUUCAUAAAUUAUCUCAAGUUGUUUCCUCUGGAGUCCUGGGCUGGCUGUUGGAUGAAUUCAUCUGUCUUCUAGCAGAUGGACAAGAAAAUUGAAUUGUAGUGGCCCAUCAGGUGUCGAUCGCAGCCUCUGGGUCCGUGUAGGUGAGCCCUCACCACAGAGAGAAUGAGAGCUGGCUCUAGGACGGGGUGUUGAUCUGUGCACAGCUGCCCGGGAAAGGGCCUAGAGAGAGGAGCUAUGGGUCCUGCACUGACAUCAGCCUUGAACAUGAGGCUGGCGUGGCAGCGGCGGCGGGGUGGGGGGGGACAUGAAUAAUUCAUAUCGCAACCAGAUUGAUGCUCAGUGAGCUUCAAUAGGAAUGAAUUACCUUGUGUGCAUUUCCUGCCUAAAUGUCAGUGUAUCUUUUCACAAGCGCCUGGGACGGGUUUAUGAAUAGGUGCAUUCUCUGAUGCCUCUGCUUUAGGCAAGGCAGUUUCAGAAUCUUGGCUGAGUUUCCAACUUCUGACUUGCUAUUUACAAACUGUAAUCAUAAGAUUUCAAGUGACACAUGACUGAAAAAAAAAAGCCCUUACUCAGGAGAAAUCUGGAUGGAAAUGGAACAAUGGUUUUGAAUGUAUCUGGAUCAUGAAAUGAAAGUCAGGAGGCUUGAGUGUUCUGCUGAGAAAAAGUGAUGGGGGAAGAACAUAAACAUGUAUAGGACACUUACUGUCUUGGGAACUUUAUGGGUGUUCUCAUUGUUAACAUCAUUUAACAGAUGAGAAAAACAGUUCUCAGACAUUGCUGCUAACAGAAAUUCAAUGCAAGCCACAUUUGUAAUUUAAGAUUUCCUAGUAACCAC